rnacentral:lncRNA from 1 species
UGGGAUCUUGUUUUUGCAUUGCGCUGUAUUUAGCCCUGCAGAACGUUACGUUUUCGUUUUCUUUUGGUAUUUCUUUUAGUUUUUUGUUUUGGUGUUCAUCUAAUAAAAGUAAUAUGUACGCUUACCAUGCUGCACCUUGGUCUCCUUCUUCAGACGGCCUUAACAGAAGAUCCGACCAAAACCGGACCAAGCAGCGUGGCCAAGAUAAGUGGACUUGGGAGGAAAUUAUGAAUGGAGAAGGGCCCUGGACGCGGAUUGGGGAGUAUCGCCGUUCAAGGGAGCAGAUGGAGGCAGCAAGAGAGGAACGGCGACGAUACGAGGAAUUAGUGCAACAACGGAAGUCUGAGGUGCAGCAUUGUAAGCGUGGUAAGAUGUACGCUUACCACGCUGCACCUUGGUCUCCUUCUUCAGACGGCCGUAACAAGCGCAAAGUUGGAACCGGGAUUCAUCCGUGAAGAGCACACUUCUUCAGUAUGCCAGUGGCCAUUGAAGGUGAGCAUUUGCCCACCGAAGUCAGAUACGAUGCUGCAGUCAGGUCAAGACCCUGGUGACGACGACGAGCACACAAAUGAG